rnacentral:rRNA from 1 species
AGGAUGAACGCUAGCGGCAGGCUUAACACAUGCAAGUCGAGGGGCAGCAUAAUGGUAGCAAUACUAUUGAUGGCGACCGGCGGACGGGUGCGUAACGCGUAUGCAACCUACCCUUUACAGGGGGAUAACACUGAGAAAUCGGUACUAAUACCCCAUAAUAUUCUGGGAGGCAUCUUUCGGAGUUGAAAGCUUUGGUGGUAAAGGAUGGGCAUGCGUUGUAUUAGCUAGUUGGUAAGGUAACGGCUUACCAAGGCGACGAUACAUAGGGGGACUGAGAGGUUAACCCCCCACAUUGGUACUGAGACACGGACCAAACUCCUACGGGAGGCAGCAGUGAGGAAUAUUGGUCAAUGGACGCAAGUCUGAACCAGCCAUGCCGCGUGCAGGAUGACGGCUCUAUGAGUUGUAAACUGCUUUUGUACGAGGGUAAACGCAGAUACGUGUAUCUGUCUGAAAGUAUCGUACGAAUAAGGAUCGGCUAACUCCGUGCCAGCAGCCGCGGUAAUACGGAGGAUUCAAGCGUUAUCCGGAUUUAUUGGGUUUAAAGGGUGCGUAGGCGGUUUGAUAAGUUAGAGGUGAAAUUUCGGGGCUCAACCCUGAACGUGCCUCUAAUACUGUUGAGCUAGAGAGUAGUUGCGGUAGGCGGAAUGUAUGGUGUAGCGGUGAAAUGCUUAGAGAUCAUACAGAACACCGAUUGCGAAGGCAGCUUACCAAACUAUAUCUGACGUUGAGGCACGAAAGCGUGGGGAGCAAACAGGAUUAGAUACCCUGGUAGUCCACGCAGUAAACGAUGAUAACUCGUUGUCGGCGAUACACAGUCGGUGACUAAGCGAAAGCGAUAAGUUAUCCACCUGGGGAGUACGUUCGCAAGAAUGAAACUCAAAGGAAUUGACGGGGGCCCGCACAAGCGGAGGAACAUGUG